rnacentral:rRNA from 1 species
UGGGGAAUUUUGGACAAUGGGCGAAAGCCUGAUCCAGCAAUGCCGCGUGUGUGAAGAAGGCCUUCGGGUUGUAAAGCACUUUUGUCCGGAAAGAAAACGCCGUGGUUAAUACCCGUGGCGGAUGACGGUACCGGAAGAAUAAGCACCGGCUAACUACGUGCCAGCACCCGCGGUAAUACGUAGGGUGCAAGCGUUAAUCGGAAUUACUCGGCGUAAAGCGUGCGCAGGCGGUCCGCUAAGACAGAUGUGAAAUCCCCGGGCUUAACCUGGGACCUGCAUUUGUGACUGGCGUGCUAGAGUAUGGCAGAGGGGGGUAGAAUUCCACGUGUAGCAGUGAAAUGCGUAGAGAUGUGGAGGAAUACCGAUGGCGAAGGCAGCCCCCUGGGCCAAUACUGACGCUCAUGCACGAAAGCGUGGGGAGCAAACAGG